UCUUAUCCAAUUUCAUAAAGCUGAUCUGUCAACAUCCAUUUCAAUAUUCACUGAAUUCUUACAGAGCUAAUACACGUAUUGGACCCUUGGUCUAUCCAUGCAAGCCCUUCUGGAUAGUGAAUGCUGUCAUCCUCACAUCAUGCAACGCAGAAAAUACAUCAUUCAACUUCAUUGAGACUCAGUAUGAAAGGACACGAUUUGAUGCAGUGUUCGCCCCUUUUUCUAGACUGUACACAGAUGUACCUUCGACAUCAUGAUAUGGAUUCGAUGGUGCAAAAACUUUUGAGAUGUAUUUUGCACCCCAUGAUUCUAGACUAGGGACUUUUGCAUCAAGGGUAAGACUAUUUAGGCAUUAUG
rnacentral:misc_RNA from 1 species